UGGGGAAUAUUGGACAAUGGGCGCAAGCCUGAUCCAGCAAUGCCGCGUGAGUGAGGAAGGCCUUAGGGUUGUAAAGCUCUUUCGGCGGGGACGAUGAUGACGGUACCCGCAGAAGAAGCCCCGGCUAACUUCGUGCCAGCAGCCGCGGUAAUACGAAGGGGGCGAGCGUUGUUCGGAUUUACUGGGCGUAAAGGGCGCGCAGGCGGUCCUGUUUGUCGAGUGUGAAAGCCCCGGGCUCAACCUGGGAAUGGCGCUCGAAACGGCGGGACUAGAGAUCGGGAGAGGAGCGUGGAAUUCCCAGUGUAGAGGUGAAAUUCGUAGAUAUUGGGAAGAACACCGGUGGCGAAGGCGGCGCUCUGGACCGAGACUGACGCUGAGGCGCGAAAGCGUGGGGAGCAAACAGGAUUAGAUACCCCCGUAGUCC
rnacentral:rRNA from 1 species